AACAAAGUAGGAAAAAAUAAGGAACCCGCACACUGCUCUUGACAGUCUUGACGAAGGCCGUGAGGCCGAUACGUAAAGCUCUGAUGAAGGAGGUGAGUUCAUUAUGUAAAACUCUGACGAAGGCCAUGAGGUCGAUACGUAAAGCUCUGACGAAGGCCGUGAGGUCGAUACGUAAAGCUCUGACGAAGUCCGUGAGGUCGAUAUGUAAAACUCUGACGAAGGAGGUGAGGUCGAUACGUAAAGCUCUGACGAAGGCGGUGAGGUCGAUAUGUAAAACUCUGACGAAGGCCGUGAGGUCGAUACGUAAAGCUCUGAUGAAGGAGGUGAGUUCAUUAUGUAAAACUCUGACGAAGGCCAUGAGGUCGAUACGUAAAGCUCUGAUGAAGGAGGUGAGGUCAUUAUGUAAAACUCUGACGAAGGCCAUGAGGUCGAUACGUAAAGCUCUGACGAAGGCCGUGAGGUCGAUACGUAAAGCUCUGACGAAGUCCGUGAGGUCGAUAUGUAAAACUCUGACGAAGGAGGUGAGGUCGAUACGUAAAACUCUGACGAAGGAGGUGAG